GUCAAAGGCUACGAGCAUCUCAGAGCCCCUGAAGUCUCUGUGGGUUCCAUCACAGAGACCUGCUUCAGUGUGACCUAUGCUAAAGGGAGAAUGUGUUCUUCUCAGCAGACAUCAGUGGACGAGUCCUGCUCCAUCACAUAUCCCAGAGAAAUUCAUGUCCAGAGGACUCCUGCUGAACACAGAGGUCACAUCAGACUGACCUGUAACAGCAGCUGUUUUCUGACUGAGCCUCUGAUUUCCUUUGUGUGGUAUGAGACCAGAAAGCCUACA